UGGAGGGGGAGGGAAGAGGGAGAGAAAGGGGAAGAGGAGAGGAAAGAGGAAGGGAGGGGUGCUGAUAUGAGAGCUGGAGGGGGGAGAAAAUGGCAAUUCUAGCUUCUGCCUCCAUGAUUUUUCUUUUUUUUUUUGCCAGUCCCAGGACUUGAACUCAGGGCCUAUGCACUGUCCCUGAGCCUCUUUGUGCUCAAGGCUAGUGUUCUACCUCUUUAGCCAUAGCAACACUACUGGCUUUCUCUGAGCAGUUAUUGAAGAUAGAGUUUCAAGGACUUUUCUGCCCAGGCUGGCUUUGAACCUCAAUCCUCAGAUCCCAGCCUCCUGAGUAGAUAGGAUUACAGAUGUGAGCCUCCAGUGCCCAGCUUUGAAGGAUAUUUUUAAAUAUCCUUUACAAUAUGAAGAGAAACAGCUGGAACUAAAAUGACAGCAAUGUUUUUUUCUCAACAUCAUAGUACUCUUGUAAUCUCAUUAUCCUGCAAGAACACAGGUAAAAAUGUCCAGAAACUCUUAAUAAUGUUUGACCAAAACAAUGAGGCCUGCAGGAACCUACAGAAUUUGAAAAGUUUCCUAAAGUAACAUAAUGAAAGUUAGUGCUUAACCCAAAAUGGGAAAAUCUAACUGGCAAUGAGGAAAAGCAAUCAAAGAAAAAGAGCAAUCAUAAACAUAAGGCACUAAAAUGUUUAUAAUCAUUAUUUUGAUACAGAAUAUUUAAUUCUUUCUUUGGAAAUGCAGCUAAAGAAGCUCUUGUGGGGGCUGGGGAUAUGGCCUAGUGGUAAGAGUGCUUGCCUCACAUACAUGAAGCCCUGAGUUUGAUUCCUCAGCACCACAUAUAUAGAAAAAAACAAAGCCAGAAGUGGUGC